rnacentral:rRNA from 1 species
CCUACGGGUGGCUGCAGCGGGGAAUAUUGGACAAUGGGGGGAACCCUGAUCCAGCCAUGCCGCGUGUGUGAAGAAGGCCCUCGGGUUGUAAAGCACUUUCAGUGAGGAAGAACGCCUGGUGGUUAAUACCCAUCAGGAAAGACAUCACUCACAGAAGAAGCACCGGCUAACUCCGUGCCAGCAGCCGCGGUAAUACGGAGGGUGCGAGCGUUAAUCGGAAUUACUGGGCGUAAAGCGCGCGUAGGUGGCUUGAUAAGCCGGUUGUGAAAGCCCCGGGCUCAACCUGGGAACGGCAUCCGGAACUGUCAAGCUAGAGUGCAGGAGAGGAAGGUAGAAUUCCCGGUGUAGCGGUGAAAUGCGUAGAGAUCGGGAGGAAUACCAGUGGCGAAGGCGGCCUUCUGGACUGACACUGACACUGAGGUGCGAAAGCGUGGGUAGCAAACAGGAUUAGAUACCCUGGUAGUC